CGAACGCUGGCGGCGUGCUUAACACAUGCAAGUCGAACGCGAAAGGGACUUCGGUCCUGAGUAAAGUGGCGCACGGGUGAGUAACGCGUAGAUAACCUGUCUUCAUGCCUGGAAUAAUACGCCGAAAGGGGUACUAAUACCGGAUAUUCUUGCUUUUCAUAAGUUAUGCAAGCAAAGGUGGCCUCUGCAUAUGCUACUGCAUGAAGAGGGGUCUGCGUACCAUUAGCUAGUAGGUGGGGUAAUGGCCUACCUAGGCGACGAUGGUUAGCGGGUCUGAGAGGAUGAUCCGCCACACUGGCACUGGAACACGGGCCAGACUCCUACGGGAGGCAGCAGUGAGGAAUAUUGCGCAAUGGGGGAAACCCUGACGCAGCGACGCCGCGUGAAGUGAGGAAGGCCUUCGGGUCGUAAAGCUCUGUCAAGAGGAAAGAAGUGUACAAUGGCUAAUACCUGUUGUAUUUGACGGUACCUCUAAAGGAAGCACCGGCUAACUCCGUGCCAGCAGCCGC
rnacentral:rRNA from 1 species